rnacentral:rRNA from 1 species
CUCCGUGCCAGCAGCCGCGGUAAUACGGAGGAGGCAAGCGUUAUCCGGAAUUAUUGGGCGUAAAGCGUCCGUAGGUGGCCCGGCAAGUCUGCUGUCAAAGACCACAGCUCAACUGUGGAAAGGCAGUGGAAACUGCAAGGCUAGAGUGCGGUAGGGGUAGAGGGAAUUCCCAGUGUAGCGGUGAAAUGCGUAUAGAUUGGGAAGAACACCGGUGGCGAAAGCGCUCUACUGGGCCGCAACUGACACUGAUGGACGAAAGCUAGGGGAGCGAAUGGGAUUAGAUACCCCAGUAGUCCUAUUUGUAAACGAUGGAAACUAGGUGUAGCACGUAUCGACCCGUGCUGUAUCGGAGCUAACGCGUUAAGUUUCCCGCCUGGGGAGUACGCACGCAAGUGUGAAACUCAAAGGAAUUGACGGGGGCCCGCACAAGCGGUGGAGUAUGUGGUUUAAUUCGAUGCAACGCGAAAAACCUUACCAGGGCUUGACAUGUCCGGAACCUCUGUGAAAGCAGAGGGUGCCUUC